ACCAGAAAAGGCCACCAUAGAAGCAUCCAAAGCUUCAGUUACAUAAAGCCAGCCAUUACUCUUCCAAAGAUCUUUGCUUUCAGCUCUUUCCUCGAUCGGAAGCCAGAUUGCUUGGAUCAAGAAGCUUCCACCAGCCAAGAAGGUAACUUUUUCCAUCUGGGUAGUGGUGAAGUUUUGAUCUUUAUGCUUGAUAAUCCUCCCUCAUAGGUUAAACCUGUUGAGACCAUCCCAACAAAACCCUUUAAUUUCAUUUGUCUUCAAUCUCUUAACAAACCCCCAUCUUCAAUUUGCUGUUAUAUUGGGAAAAAAAGAAAAAAAAAAAAGGGGGGAGAAGAGAACAAGGGAAGAAAGUAGCGGUAUCCAACAUUUCAGAUGAGCUUAAGCAACAAUAACAUAAGACAAAAGUCAUGAAUGUCAAACAAUCAUGGCAGCAUUAAGGGUCUGUUUUCUUCCUGGAUUGGAUGGAAAGCUAUGGCUGGAGAAGGAACUGAUUUGGGUGGAUUUUUGUGAGAAUUUUGAAAUUGGAAAGAAAUAGCCGCUAGCAAUCUAGAAACUUUGAUAUUUUUCUUCCAGACCGUUAGAAGCAAGGUCGAACAAGAUUUUGAAGAACUGCUUUCUAAAACGUUCGCCCACUGCAGGGUUCCUUAAAUAUGAUUGGCAAUCCAUUAUCAAAUUUCUUACAUUGUCGAAUUGAUUUUGAUAUGUUGAGUUCCUGAGUUUCUAGAUUAUGGAGCAUCUAGAAUAACAGCUUAACAGGAGUAAGGAAUCUCUGAUUGCACAACCACUUCCCAGACCAGUGAGUGUGUGUUUCUUUGGUGGCUUGGCUGAGCCCUCAGGGACUAUUGUCAAGACGCCUUUGGAUUCUGAAGCUAUUGUCAACUCAGAGGAGGUUAUAAAGGCCGAGAAAAGGAAGCUUGGGCGUGCACAGAAGACCAUGGGUGAUUAUUGCAUGUUGGCAGGAUCACAGGUUGAUACCAAUCUUCAUUACUUUGCUGCACUAGAACUUUCUAGGUUGACUGGAGAUUUUUUCUGGUAUGCUGGUGCAUUGGAGGGGAGCGUUUGUUUAUUACCGAUUCCAUUUGAAGGAGUGUAGAUCUAUUCUUUUGCUGCUGUUCCUUUGUUUGCUGCUUUGCACUAUCAUAAUUACUUAUUCUUAUUCAGAAAAUGAUAUACAGACAAAUUCAGGGCUAGAAAUCAAGAACUAUUACUUGAAGAGUAUAUAUAUAUAUCCUUCAAGUUAAAGUACUUCUUCAAUUAUACCUUUUUACUGAAUGCAGGUAUGCAUUCAAGUCAUGUGGAAUAGCUGCUUAGUCAAUGAGUUGGAUAGAGAUGAAUUUUCUGCUUGCCUAAUGGUUAUAAGAUUAUAAUUUUUUGAAGAGAAAUGAACUUUGCUUGAUUGAAGAUUGUUUACAGUAGGAUGCUAUUUAUACAACAAGUCAACAACUGAUAAAGACCUAGCUACUACUGGACAAUGGAUCACAUGUUCUUUCUGAAGGAGUUGUCUGUUGUACAAUUGAAGUGUGUGAUUUGGGUGAAGUCUGGAGCUGACAUAUAACAACAAAGAACUGGUUUCUUGUAUUAUUGAGACAGUGCACGAGUUGUCUCCUCUUGUGGGGAAGAAUUCCAGAUAGUUCCUUUGGGUAAGGAUUGCCUAUGUGCAUCCUCAUUGCUGAGGCUGCUGUGGUGAUCAUCUUGAUGUGAGAUUAUAGUGUUAUUACACCCCCGCAAGCUGAUGAGCGGGAUGCGCACAAAAAGCUUGGAACUGAGAUCAAAGAACCGAUGUUUAGGAAGACUCUUAGUGAAGAUAUCCGCAACGUUUGCGGCUGAUGAAAUGUGGUGAAGCUGCAUUGAUUUGUUAGCUCUGUUCUCUGAUGAAGUGAUAAUCCACAUCUACAUGCUUCGUUCGAUUGUGAAAAUCAGGGUUUGCAGCCAAUGCAAUGGCAGAGGUACAUUGUCACAGUAGAACAAGGGGGGCUGUCCAAGAAACACCUUGAGACAUCAGCUUGGAAAGGCAAAGAGGUUUGAAACAAAGCAAAACCACACCUGAUCACUAAACUUUGAAGAAUGAAGAUUGAUGAGACGAAACGAAAGAAUGAUUGUUGGGUUAGAACAAAGAGGAUUGAAGAGGUGAAUAAAAGAUUUGAAACGUUGUGAAUUAAAAAGAAGGGUAAAGAGUGAGGAAGAGAAUGUAAGAGGGUGAAUGAACUAGCUGUGGAUCAGAGUCGAUACGCAAAGGCUUCAAAGGAACAUGAUUUUCUUUUGCAGAGAGAGAGAGAGAGAGAGAGAGAGAGAGAGAGAGAGAGAGAGAGAGAGAGAGAGAGAGAGAGAGAGAGAGAGAGAGUAUGAACAAAGGAGAAUGAGAAGGAGAUUUUAAAGAGAAAUAUAAGAAAACUUAUAUGAAGUUGUUGAACAAGGACUGAUAAAGGAAACUCAAAACUAAGUGGAGAGAAAACAGAGAAGGAGCAGAUAAGAGGUAGAAGAGAGAUGCCAUUGCAGAAGAGUGACCGAUGAAGAAGAGAGAGAUAGGCAGCGACAUUAAUGCAAAAGAGAAGAUUGUGCAAUCAAAAUGUGAAAGAAGAUUGAAGUUGCGGUUGUGCAGCAUGAGCUGGAGUAUAAAGCUGGAAGAAAAGCUCGUAUUCCUGAACGUGAAAAAGAAGAGCUUGACGCUCAAAAGGGGAGGGCUUCAUGAGGGAGAAGAAUGAGUUGAGAGGAGAGAGUUUCACAAGAGGAGGGCUCCAAAUCGGUGCCAUGAAGAGAAUCAAACAGCUGUUAAGCAAGAGUUCUAAAUGAAUAUGACCUUUUUUUUUUGUAGAUAAAUGAAAAAUUUCUGGAGCAGAGGGAGUGAGAGAGCAAAUGAACAGAGGAAUGUGGAUACUAUUCUCCAAACAACAAUCUAAGCGUACGUAAUGGAAGGAAGCUAUAGAGGAGAAGGGUUGUUGGGAUUUGAUGGGAAUUGAAACAUGGUGCUUCUGCCAUGAUAAUUGAGAAUGAAAAACUGAAGUGAAAGAUGAAAGAUCUUGGCCUGAGAACGUAAAAUGAAUUCAAAGAAGAAAAUUAGGUAGAAAUGAAAAUUGAACUAAGAAGGAUUGAGAGAUGGUGCUGUUGGUUUCAGACCCGUGGGUGUAUGGAGAAAAUUAUCACAGGAUCAAGAGCUGUUAAGCAGAUGGCUCUGAUACCAUGAAGAGAAAUAAACUUUGCUUGAUUGAAGAUUGUUUACAGUAGGAUAUGCUAUUUAUACAACAAGUCAACAACUGAUAAAGACCUAGCUACUCUUGGACAAUGGAUCGCAUGUGCUUUCUGAAGGAGUUGUCUGUUGUACAAUUGAAGUGUGUGGUUUGGGUGAAGUCUGGAGCUGACAUAUAACAACAAAGAACUGGUUUCUUGUACUAUUGAGACAGUGCACGAGUUGUCUCCUCUUGUGGGGAAGAAUUCCAGAUAGUUCCUUUGGGUAAGGAUUGCCUAUGUGCAUCCUCAUUGCUGAGGCUGCUGUGGUGAUCAUCUUGAUGUGAGAUUAUAGUGUUAUUAUUU